GGGCCGGUAACUCAGUGGUAGAGUGUAGGAUUGCAGUUUACCACAGCAACUAUCCCGAAGUCUCCGGUUCGAUCCCGGAUCGGCCCU